CACGUAGGCGGAUUCUUAAGUCAGGGGUGAAAUCCCGGAGCUCAACUCCGGAACUGCCUUUGAUACUGAGAGUCUCGAGUCCGGGGGAGGUGAGUGGAACUCCGAGUGUAGAGGUGAAAUUCGUAGAUAUUCGGAAGAACACCAGUGGCGAAGGCGGCUCACUGGCCCGGUACUGACGCUGAGGUGCGAAAGCGUGGGGAGCAAACA
rnacentral:rRNA from 1 species